rnacentral:misc_RNA from 1 species
AGUGUUAUCAAGGCGACACUAAGGAGACAAGAGACCUUAUGGCCUUAAGCGAGAAGCGAGGCGAAGCCUUUUCGAAGCAAGGCGCCAUAGUCUAAAUUGUCUAAAUUAUAUAUAUGUGUGUACUUGUAACAUAAAAUUCAUACUUUUAACUAGUUUGAUAUGUAAAAAAAUGCAUAUUGAAAAGAAAAGAAAAACAUUAUUUACAUUAUGUCUAUAUUUGAAAUAAAAAAAAUUGAAAAUUGUGCGUACCUGCAUUUCUAGCUUAAGUAAAAGAUAAAAGUGAGGCUGUAAAAUUAAAACUCAUAGUAUAAGCAAUAACACAAAUAUUAAUAAGAGAUGUUAAUAUAAAAAAAAAAAAAAGAAAUUGUGCAUACUUGCAUUUCCAACUUAAGUAUAAGAUAAAAGUUGAGACUAUAAAAUUGAAAUUCAUAGCAUAAGAAACAAUACUAAUAAUAAUAAUAAAAGUUAUUAAAUCAUUAAAUAGAACGUGCAAAUUCUAGAAGUUUAAACUUUAAUAAAUAUAAAUAAGUCAUAAGUCAUAACAAUCCAAAUGCAACAAGUACAUAAAAAAAAAUUGUAACUAAAACUACUCAUCAUCAAAAAGCCUCUAUUCAUCUUCCAAAUUCAUCUUCAAUUUCAACAGCUUCUAUCAU